CAGCAGCCACGGUAAUACGUAGGGUGCAAGCGUUAAUCGGAAUUACUGGGCGUAAAGCGUGCGCAGGCGGUUUGUUAAGACAGAUGUGAAAUCCCCGGGCUCAACCUGGGAACUGCAUUUGUGACUGGCAGGCUAGAGUAUGGCAGAGGGGGGUGGAAUUCCGCGUGUAGCAGUGAAAUGCGUAGAUAUGCGGAGGAACACCGAUGGCGAAGGCAGCCCCCUGGGCCAAUACUGACGCUCAUGCACGAAAGCGUGGGGAGCAAACAGGAUUAGAUACCCCGGUAGUCCCUGUCUCUUAUAC
rnacentral:rRNA from 1 species